rnacentral:misc_RNA from 1 species
AGAGUAGAGAAAAACAACUCUCCAAGAAACAUAUGUGCAGCAACAAUCAUCAAAGGAAGGCAGCCAGAAAAUUCUUCGCGGAAAAGUUAAAUAUUUUGACCCUUGUGAGAACAGUACAAAAUAAUGUCACUUUCAUUUUAUGGUUCUUUCAGUUAAUAUGAAAGUUCAGGACAAGACUCAUUUAAGAUGUAAUUAUGGAGAAAUUAAACCAUCCAAAAUUAAAUAAGGGAAGACACAGAAAUUCAACUGAUUAUAAGGGUAUCCCAAUUGGGUGUCCUAAUUAUUAACACUGAUACAGCUUUUAUUGCUAAAGAAAAUGUCUUCUUGCCUAGAAUUGAAACUAAUGCUAAUAAAGGGGUAUCCUAAUCCAUGAUAGCAUGACUAGACAGUGUCAUAAAUGUCCUUGUUCCUGUGUAGGCAAUUCAAAUAUCAUUUUCGACGCCUAAAUGGAACCAAGUGAGAGUAACAGAUCCUAUAAUAUAGCAGAUAAUUUUGGGAAUUUUUUUUGUCUUACCAUAGCAUUGAAAUGGUAU